rnacentral:ncRNA from 12 species
AUCAUUUGAGAAGCAGGAAAGGGGAAAGGCACCCUGCGCUCCUUAGGGAACCUGAUAUGAUGGAUACGCCGCCCAUCCAAGUGUU